rnacentral:lncRNA from 1 species
CUGCAGCUGGAAGCUUCCGCGCGCGCAAUACACACUGGUGCGCGCGCAGGUUUGCACCCGCAUGCGCGGUGCGUCCACUUGGCUCACUGCCAUGCGCGCGUGCGCCAUACUCACUCAGGUCUAUGCGCGCCUGCGCGCGCGUGUGCCACGUCACCUGUGAGCCUCUACGAGCACGCCACACAGUCGCGCCGUUUUGGCUCACUUUGGUGCGCCGCGGACGUCACAUCAGGCCCAUGCACCACGCGCGCAACCGCGCGCUUCAUGCUAUGUGUACUCGCGCGCGUGCGCGCAUGACUGCCACGUCAUGCGCCACUGCGCGCGGACCCACCAGGGUCAUGCGCAUGCAUCCCACAUCACCAACCACUUGGUCCUUGCAACCCUUGUGCUUCACCACGCGCGCGCGGUCAAAAAUACAAAGGCGGCAUCAAAGCGCCAUAUUGCGCCUCAUCGCCCACGCCACGCGCGCGUGUGCAAGUACGGGUUGCACCCUUCGCGAGUACACUAGUGAGUGC